GCCACGUGGGGAUAGCGGAUAGGUUGUAUCUAUGCGGAAGCGACCAGGCCAAGCAGGAACAGCCAAAUAAGGACUUGUUUUUAGCGGAAGGCAGAAACAGGACUUGUUUUUCACAAGGAGCGGUAGGCGGAAACCGGCGCCAUCUCUGGGGCGCAGGACCUCGCAGCUCCCUACACAAAUGUGAGCGCCCAGCUUCUUGCUCCCGCCAUCAUGCCUGCCACUUACAGCCUUCCCUUCGUGCCACGAUGUACUCAUUCUUCCGGAACUGAUGUGGAAAGCUUUGGAACUUGGAACCAGAUAAUAGUUGAAUGCUGGAUGUAAGCAGAGCUUUCACGGCCAUCCUAAUAGGAGCCUAUAAGAUAACCACGCUGAGAGCAACGUUGACUAUGGAGGCCCAGCUCAAGGCAUUUCAGACGGGAACAAUACUGACAACAGGACUAGAGGCUGUUCCUGUGAGAGUCUGGCAAACAAAGAUCUGGCUGCCUUCAACCUUGGUUCUCAGUACUUGCCUGAGUCAAGCCUUUAAAUUGAUGGACUACUUUCUUUGGCAGAAGACAGGGUAACCUUGAAUCUGUGGUGCUGCUUUUGGUAAUGCUUAUGCUGAUUUGCAAUAAAAAAAAAAGGGCAAGUGGAUCAGAAAGAAAUAAAGCUGUUUGGAGAGAAAAAGAGCAUUAAAAGGCUUAGAGUUAUAGAGGAGGCUUGCGCUGGAAGAGAGGUUAAGGAAAUUAGCACCCUCUAGGAGAGACUGAUCUUCAUUGGAACAAAGGAUAGGUGCCCUCAGGGCAAGACUCCACCCAGCUGAGCUUCCAACUUAGGAAAAGGAAAAGGCCUAAGGAAUGUUCUAAACCUAGAAAAUCACAGCAAACAAAAUCUGCUGCUAUUGCAGUUAUGGGAUUCAGGGUCCACCCCAACUUGGCAGCUGUACGUGGUAGUGUCGUCCAUGUGGUAUUGGCUUUAGAGGCUGAAAAAUGUAAGAGCGAAGGGGUCAUGGAUUCUCUGUUUUCAGGGAGCUACUGAAGCCAGGCAACAUGUGGCUGGGGAGUCCCUUGCAUGACAGGCCUGAAAAAUUAGAGGCUGUGAGAGACCUGAAGAGCAUGAAGCUGUGUAACACUAAGAUGUUGGGGAUGCUGGAGCCUUGGGAUAUCUGGCAAGGAGAGCUGCAUACAAGGGUGGAACUAACUCAAGACAAAAGAGAGGCACACACUACAGGCAGCAAAGAUGGCGGAACAAAGAUCAGGGGAUUCUUCGACACCAUUCAGGGAACUACAGUGUUUGCUAGGCUGAGGUUCAGAAUUCCGCACCAUAUCCCCUUUCCCCCCAUUUGAAAUAGUGAUGUAUAUUCUGUUCUGCUGCGUGUUGAAAGCAUGAAAUUUUAUUUUUAUUUUUACAGAAGCUUACAAUUAAGAAAUUGUCUUCAGUCUGAGAAGAGUUUUUAGACUUUGGGAUUUUAAACAACGUUGAAAUUGUGAAAGACCAUGGCAACAUUUGGAGUUGGACUGAAGCUAAGCGUAUCUUGCAUUGUGAUGUGGCCAUGAGCCUUUAGGAGCCAAGGAAUGGAAUGUGGGGGGUAUAAAUGAGAAUGUCCCCCACAGGCUUGGAUGUUUGAAUACCUGGUCCCCAGUUGGUGGUGCUGUUUGUUGGGGAGGGGGCUCACGAGAACCAGCCUUUCUAGGGGAUGUUUGUUACUGGAGGCUGGCUUUGACGGUUAAUAUUAUAUACCAUUACUACUUUCCUCUCCCUGAGAUAGAAAAGUAUGUUUCCAGUUCUAGUUGUGAGCUCUCUCUCUCAGCUUCCUGCUCCAGCUGCCAUGUCUGUUACUCAUUGCUAUGCCUUUCUACCACGAUGGACUAUUAGCCCUCUGUAAGCCCAAAUAAACAGUUCCUUCUAUAAGUUGCCUUGGGCAUGUUAACAAAAAAGGUAAGUGAUAACAGAAAUAUUAUAAUCAUUUGCACACAAAUUACAAGUGAAACUGAAAAAAUAUCUAGAAAAAAUACAAACUAACAGAGACUGAAAAGGAAAAGGCACCCUAAAUAGACCUAUGGGAAGUAAACAGGAUGAAUUAGUAAUCUAAAAAAUAAAUCUAAAAGUAUUUACAUGAGCUGGACACAGUGGCUCAUGCUUUUAGUCCCAACAUUCAAGAGUCAAAUGGUUCUCUGUGAGUUCAAAGCCAAUCUGAGCUAUGUAGCCAACUGUAGGACGGCCAGAGUUACAUAGAGAGAACUUGUCUCCAAAAGAGAAAUCCUUUCACAAAGAAAAUCCCAGGCUCAGAUGGCCUCCUUGUUUUAAUUCUCGAAGAUGUUUCAGAAAAAUUAGUGCCAAUCUUUUGCACACACUAACGAGAUAGAGAAGAGAUUGGGUGCACUUUCUAAUAUUUCCUACAAAGUCACUACUAUUUAUAAUAGUGUAACUGUACAGGUUCAAUAUCCCCUGUGGACAUAAAUACAAAAACCUCAGCAAAAUCUAGGAAACUAAAUCCAACAAUAUAUCUGAAUAUAUUACAAACCAUGACGAAGUAGGAUUUUUCAUGAGAAUACAAAGUUGGCUUAACAAGUGAAAAUCAAUCAAUAUAACAUACCAUAUUCACAAAAUAACACAGCCUAAACCCUCACUUGACCUGGAAAGGGUAAUGGCAAAAUACUGCAUCAUUUUAUGAUGGAGAUACCUAACAAACUAGGAAUAAAAGAGAAUUUUCUCAACAUAACAAAAUACAUCUCUAAUACAUACAUGUGACAUUGUCCUUAAUAAUGGAAGAAAAGUAUUUAGGUCACAGUAGUGAAAGGGCAGGA
rnacentral:sRNA from 1 species